rnacentral:lncRNA from 10 species
UAGUUUUUCCAGACAAAAAUCAAGAUGAGUUUGUUCUGGGCGUGAGCCACGGUGCCCAGCCUAAUUUUUAACUUUUUAGUAGAGAGGGGGGCCUUACUAUGUUGCCCAGGCUGGUCUCAAACUCCUGGGCUCAAGUGAUCCCCCCGCCUCAGCCUUCCGAAGUGCUGGGAUUCCAGGUGUGAACCACCAUGCCUGGCGUCUUGAGUAUUUAAGCCCCUGAGUUGGGGUAGUUUGUUAGGCAGCGGUGGCUACGUGGGCUGUACACAUUCACGGCUCCCUCCCUUCCUGCCCGGGGAUGGACACUCCAUGAGCUGCCGUGUGGAUUCUCCGUCCUUCCCUGCCCUCCCGGGACAGACACUCCAUUGCCUCCACUGCAUAUACAUCCUCUAAAACCGGCAGCAGCCUUGCCAGGUCGGAGGUUCCGUCCACACUUACCUGGACUCCAGGACUGCACCUGGUCCCCUGGGGCCACUGCCGUGUCCACCCCACAGUGUGCGUGAGCUCCCUCCCCCUCCUGUACUCAGCAUCGUCCAGCUUCCUCAUCUUCUCCGGUCCAAUGGAUAUAAGAUGGAGUCUCGCUCUGUGCUCAGGCUGGAGUACAAUGGCGUGAUCUCGGCUCACUGCAGCCUCUGCCUCUCAGGUUCAAACAAUUCUCCGGCCUCAGCCUCCUGAGUAACUGGGACUACCGCCACCACGCUCAGCUAAUUUAUGUAUUUUUAGUAGAGACGGGGUUUCGCCAUGUUGGCCGGGCUGGUCUCGAACUCCUGACCUCAAAAGAGCCGUCCGCCUCGGCUUCCCAAACCGCUGGGGUUACAGGCAUGAGCCACUGCGCCCAGCCAUUACUUUUUAUUUUAUUUUUAUUUUUUGAGACGGAGUUUCUCUCUGUCGUC